CACCACUGCAGUGGGAAGCAUUCUACGUUCCACUACAGACGUGUACACACGAUGGAUACGACAUUUUGGAAGUUUUUUUUAAUUCUAGUAAUUUUUAUCGUUUGCUAUCGUAAUUUUGGCGAUAGUUUUCCAAAAGUAUUAACCAUAACUUCGGCGAUUUUCAGUUGUCUUAUUGUGGCAAUCCAAUUGUCUUCUCCCGCUAAAAAUCCAAAUCGUGGGAAUUUUAUGUACAGAACGUUGAAAUCAAAGCGGCAGCCUUUUUUGGUCCCCCGCCUCGACUGAAAUCCUAUCUGGAAAUCGCCGAGGACCUGCUUGUCACCGCGGUGAAAAUCCUUGCGUGUCUUACUACCCUACACAAAUGUGCUAUCGCAUUUUCGGACAAGUGAUGAGGGAAUCGUAAAAGAGUGGCGCGAGUUUAUAAUCAAAUGUAGUGUGUGCACCCCCAAGUUGUGUAUUAUAAACAUAUUUUUAUUGCGGCGCAAAUUUAAAACGCAAUUUUAUGAUUGCAUAUUAUUUACGACGUAUAUUUGUCAUCUUACAUUUCAAAAAUUAAAAAUAAAAAGAAUACUAUCAGAUCAA